rnacentral:rRNA from 1 species
CGGCGAGUGAAGAGGGAAAAGCUCAAAGUUGGAACCUGGCUGCCCUAGGCAGUCCGGAUUGUAAACUAAAGAGCGUGAUUCCAGGCAAGCCGGUUGACCAAGUCCUUUGGAAUGAGGCGCCACUGAGGGUGAGAGCCCCGUAAGUCGACUGAGCAUUUGUCUUUUGUGUUUCGCGUUCAAAGAGUCAGGUUGUUUGGGAAUGCAGCCUAAAGCUGGUGGUAAAUCCCACCUAAAGCUAAAUACAGGCGAGAGACCGAUAGCGAACAAGUACCGUGAGGGAAAGAUGAAAAGAACUUUGAAAAGAGAGUUAAACAGUAUGUGAAAUUGCCAAGAGGGAAGCAUUUGGAGUUAGAUUGACUAGGAGUUAAUCAGCUUGGUCUUUGGACUGGGUGUACUUGACUUCUUACAGUCUGCCAAUAGCAGUUAGUCCUAGUGGAAAAAACCAGAGGGAAGGUAGUCCUUCGGGAUGUUUAUAGACCUUUGGAAAAUACACUGGGAUUGACUGAGGAAUGCAGUAGAUGCCACUAAGGCUUCGUCUAGUGGGUGCUAGGCAAAGGUACUUGGUAUUUUCAGCUUGCUGAUGUGCUAGGUUACUCGAGUCUAGUCGCCUACUAGAA